rnacentral:misc_RNA from 1 species
GAAAUGCGAUAAUUAAUGUGAAUUGCAGAAUUCAGUGAAUCAUCGAGUCUUUGAACGCACAUUGCGCCCCCUGGUAUUCCGGGGGGCAUGCCUGUCCGAGCGUCAUUGCUGCCCUCAAGCACGGCUUGUGUGUUGGGCUUCCGUCCCUGGCAACGGGGACGGGCCCAAAAGGCAGUGGCGGCACCAUGUCUGGUCCUCGAGCGUAUGGGGCUUUGUCACCCGCUCCCGUAGGUCCAGCUGGCAGCUAGCUUCGCAACCAAUCUUUUUAACCAGGUUGACCUCGGAUCAGGUAGGGAUACCCGCUGAACUUAAGC